GAAAUGCGAUAAGUAGUGUGAAUUGCAGAAUUCAGUGAAUCAUCGAAUCUUUGAACGCACAUUGCGCCCCUUGGUAUUCCAUGGGGCAUGCCUGUUCGAGCGUCAUUUGUACCCUCAAGCUCUGCUUGGUGUUGGGUGUUUGUCCCCGUCUCCGCGCGUGGACUCGCCCCAAAGUGAUUGUCAGCCGGCGUACUGGUCCCGGAGCGCAGCACAUGUCGCGCAAACGAGUGCCUUGGUACGGCGGCGUCCAUAAGCCCCUCUCUCACGCUCUUGACCUCGGAUCAGGUAGGGAUACCCGCUGAACUUAAGC
rnacentral:misc_RNA from 1 species